rnacentral:rRNA from 1 species
AUUGAACGCUGGCGGCAGGCCUAACACAUGCAAGUCGAACGAGUGGCGGACGGGUGAGUAAUGUCUGGGAAACUGCCUGAUGGAGGGGGAUAACUACUGGAAACGGUAGCUAAUACCGCAUACUAUCAGAUGUGCCCAGAUGGGAUUAGCUUGUGGGUGGGGUAACGGCUCACCAAGGCGACGAUCCCUAGCUGGUCUGUGAGGAUGAACAGCCACACUGGGACUGAGACACGGUCCAGACUCCUACGGGAGGCAGCAGUGGGGAAUAUUGCACAAUGGGCGCAAGCCUGAUGCAGCCAUGCCGCGUGUAUGAAGAAGGCCAUAGGGUUGUAAAGUACUUUCAGCGGGGAGGCGUUACCCGCAGAAGAAGCACCGGCUAACUCCGUGCCAGCAGCCGCGGUAAUAC